AGCACUGAAUUGCUGUUUCACUCAGCCUUUGUUGCUGGAUUAUUGUUUUUUUUUUUUUUUUUUUUUGUGGGGGGCGUGGAGAGCUUGCCACUCCAAAAUGAUUUCCAUGAAAACAGCAUAGGCUGCUCCUAGAACCAGCUGUGCUGAUAGUAUCUUCAUGACCCCCUGAUCUGCUCAGAUCUCAUAGCUGCUUCAAACUCUGGUUACCCCAUAGACUCUCCUCCAGCCUAAUGCACCACAACCACCUGGGAAGAGAUGUGUGUUAAGAAUCUCCCUGCUCGCUAUCAUGAGAACAGGAUGAAGGCUUCAUUGAGGGUCAGACCAUGUAUCUGCAACCAUUUUGCAGCUAUUUUUUGGCCCCUCACAUACUUCUUUAUCCCAAAUGAAGCCUCUUCACCUCUCAUGAAGGCACAUCAAUCCUCAUUCAGCAGAUAAUUCUGGCAAUUGGCACACUCAUUCCUUUAGGGUACAGUACUUCAGGGACUGAAAGAUUUCAGACAUAAUAAAAAAAUGCAAUCCAGAUGAUAGAAGGUGAACCCCUGUUUAUCCUCUCUCUUCUUGGCAUCGGUGCUUGCUGGAUCUUGGUAUGGUGGUGUGAGUUCGGAGACUGGAGUAGUGAGAGCGACAAUUCAAUGGAGUAAACCUAAUUUAACUGCUCUUACUAAUACUGAGAUUAACUGUCUUUUUGAAAUUCCUCAGCCUGAUAGUCUAAAUAUAAGGAACCGGAUUAUUGAGGUCACAAUGGGACCUGUAGAAAAUCCAGACACAGUUGCAAGAAACACCCACAGAUGUUCUCUAUCUUUUGCCGCGUCUACCAUUUGGGGUGUUUUAUGUCCCCAAGAUUUCCCUUCACCAGGCCAAACAAGACGUAACUGGUUUAUAGAAGAGGAAAAAGGAAUAAUACAGAAAAAAGUAGUUCAGUCAGGACAAUGGCAGUGUAUGUUAAGAGAUGGUUCUGGGAUAGUUGCCUGCUCCACUAGUCUCCUGGUUGUCACAGUUAAGCCAACCACUACUACUCUUAUACUCAUAUGGAAAAAUCUGAGCAAAAUUUAUAUUCUUGGUGGAAAAUGGUCAAUUUUACAUGUAGUGUGCAGCAAAAUGAAAUGUUUUAUGCUCAAAUAGAAUGGCUAUCCCCUAUUAUGGGAUUGGGAUUAAAUGUCAAUAAUAGUGUAAUGCAACCAAGGGAAGACAAAUUAUGGGCCAUAAAUCAAACCACCGUAUGGAAAACAGUAGAAUUUAAAACUUGUAUGGAAGAACAUGGAAUUGGAUAUAUUUGUAAUAAUGUUAUACAAUCUUAUGAUAUCUGUUUAAAUCCAGAAAAAAGGAAAAUGCCAUAUCAACUAAAUCCAUUUCCAGAUACUGGAUCCGUGGUUGUGCAUAUAGGAAAUACAAGUGUAUGUAUUAGAAGUUGAUGCAGAACAGUUUAAUGUUAAUUACUUGUUUAAUAUAAGCCAUAAUCCUUAUGAAAAUCAAUGUUUAUGUAAUAAAGUUUCAGUGAUUGGAUGUGAUUUUAACUUUACAUUACCUGAAGUUUAAUAUAAGAAAGUUAAGGACCAAAUGUAUAAAAGUGUCAACCCUGUGCUACUGAGUAUGAAUAUCAGUUUAGUUAAACAAUUGCUAAACUAUUCUGAUUUGCAAGGAUACUUGCAAAAGGCUCAGGAAAAUGCAUGUAAAACUAUGAUCACUGUACAUCACUCAACUGAUGAAAUUAAACAAAUUGUGGAACAAGUAAAAAGAUACAAAACACAACUGGUGAGAGGUAUUUUUGGGAUGGUCAUCUACUGCCACAGGAAUUUUAAAUAGACUGCUGCACCCUAUUGUAUAGAUAACUGGAACAUAUUGUUUGUUUAAUAUCUGUAAUAAUAAUAAUAUGUUGGACCAGGAAAAUGUUAUUUAAAUUACAAUUUGCCCAGAGAGGAUUAGAAAUUGAAAACAGUCUGUUAAAAGUUCUAAAAUCGGUUCAGGAAAAGUUGGAAA